UAGCAUWUYMWURAKCGGAGGAAAAGAAACCAACAGGKAUKSCYYMRKUAACGGCGAAGUGAAGCGGCAACAGCUCAAAUUUGAAAUCUGGCCGCAAGGUCCGAGUUUGUAAUUUGUAGAGGAUGCUUUUGGCGAGGUGCCUUCCGAGUUCCCUGGAACGGGACGCCAUAGAGGGUGAGAGCCCCGUACGGUAGGACCACCAAGCCUCUGUAAAGCUCCUUCGACGAGUCGAGUAGUUUGGGAAUGCUGCUCUAAAUGGGAGGUGUACGUCUUCUAAAGCUAAAUACCGGCCAGAGACCGAUAGCGCACAAGUAGAGUGAUCGAAAGAUGAAAAGCACUUUGAAAAGAGGGUUAAAAAGUACGUGAAAUUGUUGAAAGGGAAGCAUUCAUGACCAGACUUGGGCUUGGUUGAACAUCCGGCGUUCUCGCCGGUGCACUCUGCCAGUCCAGGCCAGCAUCAGUUUGCCCCGGGGGAUAAAGGCGGCGGGAAUGUGGCUCCCUUCGGGGAGUGUUAUAGCCCGUCGUGUAAUGCCCUGGGGCGGACUGAGGAACGCGCUUCGGCACGGAUGCUGGCGUAAUGGUCAUCAAUGACCCGUCUUGAAACACGGACCAAGGAGUCGUCUUCGUAUGCGAGUGUUCGGGUGUCAAACCCCUACGCGUAAUGAAAGUGAACGUAGGUGAGAGCUUCGGCGCAUCACCGACCGAUCCUGAUGUUCUCGGAUGGAUUUGAGUAAGAGCAUACGGGGCCGGACCCGAAAGAAGGUGAACUAUGCCUGUAUAGGGUGAAGCCAGAGGAAACUCUGGUGGAGGCUCGCAGCGGUUCUGACGUGCAAAUCGAUCGUCAAAUAUGGGCAUGGGGGGCGAAAGACUAAUCGAACCUUCUAGUAGCUGGUUUCGCGAGCUCCUUCCCCCGAGAGGAAAAAACUUCGGGGAAACAGGCUUUCGAGUAAGGGUUUCUAUCCGUCCCUUGCCUCUUAGCAUAAUUGACAUCGAUAUGCAGUUCAGGACCCCUCGAGCUUCMRMGGUUCUCCUGCUUCGUUAUACGGUCUAGUUACUGCUAUGCGAUCGCUAGACUUUCAUCAAAUUCGAGCUUAGGAUGCAUGGCGUCAUGCUAGCUCAGUCAUACAGCUAGGCACUGACUCAUCGUAGGCAACGUG
rnacentral:rRNA from 1 species